UCCGGUAUGGUGUAACGGUCAACAUUGCCGCUUUUCAUUACGCGAAGUGCGGAUUACGUAAUCGCGAUAAUUUCGCGGCAGCUCGGGGUUCGAUUCCCCGUACCGGAA